rnacentral:miRNA from 1 species
GUAGGUACCCAAAUAUCUUG